UUGAUUCCUAAAUUGUAAAAAAGAAUGAGUGGUUGUAUAAGCUUCCUUUUAUCUGCUACUUACUUUCUGAUAAAUCUAUUGUGUUUCUUAUGGUGUUUAAAUCUAACAAAGUUUUUAAAAUUAAUAGUUUAUUAUCAUUAUGUGAUUUGCAAGCUCUGCGAAUAGUUGUUUUCUAAAUUGUAAAAAAGAAUGAGUGGUUGUAUACGCUUCCUUUUACCUGCUACAUACUUUCUGAUAAACCAAUUGUUAUUGUUACAACACGGGUCCACUGGCCUUAUCAAUGUGACCAUGUACGCCUGUCAGUGAAUCCUGAAGUCGAACAUAAGUUUCUUUUAUUAGAUAAGAUUUGAGACAAAAAAGUUUGCCUUUUUAUCUCUGUGGACGGCAGUCCACGUAGUGCAAAGCGCACCAAAAGGACAUUAACAACUGCAUUCCGGCAGCACGACACUGAUAUGGAUGGAAUCUUAACCAUACAUUAUGAACAAUUCUUAAGCAUGGUUUUUUCUUUGCAAUUUAAAGCCAAGCAAAACAAAUACAAAUAACAAAUAUAAUGUAGUAAAAGUUUAAAAUAUACUUUUAUUAAACAACAA